rnacentral:rRNA from 1 species
AUUGAACGCUGGCGGCAUGCCUUACACAUGCAAGUCGAACGGUAACAGGUCUUUGGAUGCUGACGAGUGGCGAACGGGUGAGUAAUACAUCGGAACGUGCCCAGUCGUGGGGGAUAACGCAGCGAAAGCUGUGCUAAUACCGCAUACGAUCUAUGGAUGAAAGCGGGGGAUCGCAAGACCUCGCGCGAUUGGAGCGGCCGAUAUCAGAUUAGGUAGUUGGUGGGGUAAAGGCCCACCAAGCCAACGAUCUGUAGCUGGUCUGAGAGGACGACCAGCCACACUGGAACUGAGACACGGUCCAGACUCCUACGGGAGGCAGCAGUGGGGAAUUUUGGACAAUGGGCGCAAGCCUGAUCCAGCAAUGCCGCGUGCAGGAUGAAGGCCUUCGGUUGUAAACUGCUUUGUACGGAACGAAAGGACUCUGGUUAAUACCUGGGGCGUCAUGACGGUACCGUAAGAAUAAGCACCGGCUAACUACGUGUC